AGAGCACCAGCCCUGAAGUCAGGAGGACCUGAGUUCAAAUGCGACCUCAGACCAAACACUUGACAUGUACUAGCUGUGUGACCCUGGGCAAGUCACUUAACCCCAAAUGCCUCAAAAGUAAAAACAAAAAACAAAAAAAAAAGAAUUGAAUACAGAAGCAAUUUGAUUAAGGCAGGAUACAGUGGGACCACUACCUAUCUGCCUUGUAUUAGAAGAACCUUUCACUUGCAGUCAGAAAAUCAGGCUUCCAGUGUUAUCUUUCAUGUUUACUCAUCUGUUUAAACAAGAUCAAGUAAUUUCACAACUCUGAUUUUUAGGUAACAUAUAUGUAAUCUCACCCACAGGUAAAUUGCCAUGGAAAACUAGUGAGCCAAGAAGAGGUUCCCAUUUGAGGGAUCCUGCCUUUACCCAAAGAUCCCCAAGCUUCUGAUGGUUUUUAAACCAGGAAGAAUUUCCAGGAAGUCACAUGUCUGAGAAGCAGAUAAGAAAAGUGGAAAGAAGGAAGAGAAGGAAGUCUGGUAUCUGCCUCUACACCAGAAAACAGGCAAAGCAAAUAGACCUUAGGUCUUCUGGGAUGGCAGAACAUUUAUGAAGCUCCAUGGGAAGUCCUAGACUGGAGGGCUAAUGAAGAACCAGCAGUUCCAAUGGGUUCUUGAAAGCAAAGCAACACUUGUUCUUGCCAGUGGGAAAAUGGCACCAGUAAAUCCACACUGGAGAAAUUCCCUAUUUCCCAAAGAUUUAUGGACUUAACAACUGAGAAUUUUACCAAUGUAUAGUUUUCUGUCAUGCACACGUCAUUCUAACCCACUCGAAGAAAAAAAAAAGAAUUCCCACAAAAUGAGGGAAAUGCUGUGAACCUUUAAUGAUUGAAAAAUUCACAAACCUACGAGCUCUUGGAAUGGGAUUUAUCAGAUGGUAAAAUAAUAAUACAUUUUCCCCUUUACUGAUUAAUGUGUCUGUCAUACUGUGAAGGAAAUAGUGAGGAGAGUGAAAUGUGACUAUUUGGUAUCUCUAUGCUAUGUGUGUUGGUGUGUGGACAGAAUGACGGGGAAGACCUCCAGGGAUCUUAGCCAUAUUCCUCCACAAUAGAAUAUAUUACAUAACUCUUCCUCAUUGAACUGUGAUUAUAACCAAGUCACCUUCAUAAACAGGAAUACGGUGAAACUAAUUAGGUGCUGACAAAAAGCAAAUAUUGUACUCCUAAUUAGAACUUCUCCUGCUUGAAACCCUGCUUUGUUACUGAUAUUCCAGUGUGAAUGAUGUGUGAAUCAUAACAGCACCUUACAGAGCAGGCUCUGAAGGAUGAAAAAGACAGGCGCAGUGUCACAGUUGAUGAAUACCUUUGGAAAGCUCUCCUAAUCUGGAGUCAAUGAAAUGCAAUCCCCCAAACAGCUGCUUUGACUGAUUUGUAUACUGGCAUAAUUAGGCACAAAAAUGGUCCGUGGGCACAUUCUCCACAUUCGUUUGUUGCUAUAGCUCUCAGAUCACUCCCUCUUUCUACUUAACAGGUUGCUUACCCCAGUGAGGUCUGAAUAUUUAGCAGGACCAGAGAAAGGAAUGCAAAGGGCAACUGGAAUUUGAUCAUUUGGUAGCCUUUGGUCAGUUACUGCCCUAAUUCCUAAAUAGAUUAAUAGAAAGAUAGAUAUUGAUAUAAUAAAUAUAAAAAUAUGUAACGUCUAUAGAUAUAU
ensembl:lncRNA